AAUUGAUACAAGAUGAUCUCAAUGUCAAGGGUCUACAAGGACUCCAGAACUCUCCAGGAGUGAUGAAAGAUGGUGUCUUAGCCUGGGUUUCUGCAACAAGCAGAGCCUAGCACAACAUGGUGGUUUACUUUGAAAAGUGAUCCCAAGAAACAGGAGUGAGAGGCUCGGAAGAGUCAAACGGAAAGAGGACAAGCCAACCAAGUGAAAGUGUGGUGUUUGCUGUGAGAGGGAGCAGACGCUCACUGCCAUAGAUCUCAGAGACCACCAAGGCUGAAUAAGCUGAACAACGCAUGCGGAAAGUCCACAGGCCUGCACACCAAUGGCCACAGCCUGUUCUCUCCCUGCAGGUAGGACACUCAUGCGGUACCACCCUUCCUGAGGACACCUUCCUUCCAUUGCCUGGACAGCAGCAUCCUGCCCUGGGCCACCCUCCAUGUGGAUGCCCUUCCCACUUCCCCAGGGCACUGACUCCAAGCGCAAGGUGCCCUUGCAAUAGACACUCUCCUCACCCCUCUAGUUCUGCCAUCCUGCCCUGGGCCACCUUCUGUGUAGACCCCUCCUCACCCCACUGAGGGUCUGAGUCUCCGUGCCAGGACAUCCUCCCUGGACAGGACCCCCUUCGGACCCUGCUUUGGUCUCCGACACAUGCUGGGCUGCCCCCUCCUAUGUUGGCACCCUCCUCGCUCCACAUGGGCAACCUCACACUGGACCACCGCCCUUGUGUGAGCCUCUAUCUCACCCCGGUGGACUCCACCCUCCUGCUCUGGGCACGCUACUUCCUCCCCACUCAGCUACAGAGGCCUGCCUUGCUCUACCUUACCUAAUGGCUUCUGAACAGAAUUUUCUAGAAGGGAGAGGAAGAAGCAUCGAGCUGGUUCUCUUGGCCUGUUCCUGGAUCCCAUCCUUCUCCUUUGUUCCCGGCUCCUCCAUUCUCUAGGAAUCUCAAUCUCUUCCGGCAUUGCUGAGUUCUCAAGCUCUCUACUUUCCACUGAGCCUGUGAGUCCAGCAGGGACUGGGGUUGGGAUGCAGUUUUCAGAGACCUGUGACUACACCUUUGUUACUGGAUAGACUCCUCAGCCCUGGAUCAGCCACAGCCCUCUCCCAGGAAGCCCCUCAACUCUCUGCUAUUACCCUUCUCCAAGGCCUGAAAACAGGACUCUCUCUUCGAGAAGAUCACAGACCCUUGAGAAGAUACAGAAAUUCUCUGCUCGGCCCAAGUCAAAAUAAAAUGACUGAAUAGGCCAGGGCAGCACAGACGAGAGAGGAGUUUUCUCUGGGGCAGUGGUUCUCCAAGUGUAGUCACUGAGCAAGCAGCAGCAGAGUCAGCUGGGAACUUGUGGGACAUACAGAUCCUGGAGCCCCACCCAGACUACUGAAGCAGAACCUCCUGGGGUGGCGCUGGCAAUCUGUGUUUUAAUAAGCCCUCCUCAUUCUGAUGUCCUCUAAAGUGUGAGAACCACAGCUCCAGAAUACUGCAGGGCAGUGACGGGUGGAGGAGAAGGAGUAGGGCUGACUUCUCAGAAGAGUCCCGAAGACCUUGUCCUUGAGUCUGCAGAGAAGUUCACCAGGCAGACAAAGAAAGAAAGAGCAAGCCCAGGCAUACCCACAAGUACCAUCUGAGCUCUGCAUACCUUCUGAUAUAUGUUUAAUAAUCUUGGAAUAACAAUUGUAUUGAUAUUAUGUUGUUUAGAGUAAGUGGCAAUGUAUUCUUUGAAGAGUUAAAACUGUUUUCUGUGUUUAGAAAAGUUCUCACUUGAACUUAAUUUUGUGUUCUAAAUUUAACUAAGGAUUAUUUUUAUACAAACUUUUGAAAGCUUACUAAAUUUAUCUGAUUAACUUGUUAACAGUAGGUAGUUAGGCAGACAUAAGCAGGGCAGACCCCCACCCCCACCCCAGGAACGUCAGACAACCAUCAGGUGAUGGUCAGGAAGUUGUUCCACUGCUCCCUAAAAUAAUAACUGAUCGCACCCAGCACCAGGGAAAGGCAGUCUCCCAAUAGAUAGAAAACACCUGGCCGGGCACGGUGGCUCACGCCUG
rnacentral:lncRNA from 10 species